AAACCGUAUCACAACAAACCGGUACAUUUGAAAUAAAAGGUGAAAGUUUUCCCUCUCUGCUCUUUCGACUCUCUCUCUUUCCCUCUCUCCUCUUACGACUCUCCCUCUCUGUUACGGCUACCAGGUAACCCUCUGUCGACUCUCCCUCUCGCUCGCGACUCUCUCCCUCUCGCUCGACUCUUCCUCACUUGACGCCUCUCACUCUCUCUCUCUCUCUCUGUUUCUCGCUCGACUCGCUCUCUCUCUGUUUCUCGCUCGACUUUCAUUUUUACUGUUUUCUUUUCACUUCUAAACUCUUCUUCCCCUUACCCUCUUUUCAGGGUUUUUAUGAUGGAAAGUGGGGGACAGGAAGAAGAUUUGUUUUUCUACCUCUUCUGCUUUCUAGUCUGUAGGGUUAAUGUGUGUCCUUUUGUGCCAUCCUUCUGUAAUUCCUUUUGAUCCUCAUGUUCCCAUGAGUAGCUGUAACUGCUUCUAUUAGGUUUGUCCCUGCGAAAGUCAUCACUCUUUGAAGAUUUCUGACUAUAAUCGGCUUCUCACAAGGUAUAACUUCUUUCUUGUUCCUAUUGCUGUAUUUUCAAUGGCUAUGAAUUCUCUCUGCAAUACCCCUGCAUGUUUGAGGGUGGUCCUUGAACAGCGAGCAGAAUACAAGCCUGGUGCUGGUAUACCUGAAAUUUAUGAUGCAUCUCUUGUGAUUGAAUCUGACCUUCCUCUCUUUAAAAGGAUUGUUUGGUAUUGGAAGAAAACAAUAUAUAUUUGGACUAGUUUAUCCUUGUUAAUGAUGGAAUUACUGUUGGCUUUAGUCUGCUGUAGACCUAUUCUUAUCCCAAGAGCAAAACCCAAGAAUAGUUCCACAGCUAACAACAGUUUUUGCCAAAACACAGGAGCUGGGUCCUAAAGCAGCUAAAGAUCAUAGGGAUGUGGUGAUGAUAUGGGUUGGAGAAGAAAAUAUUGUGUUGUACUCAAUUUGUCUAACAUACUCUGUUGUACUCAGAUAUGGAUAUUCCAACUUGUGCUUCCACUCAGCUUUAAGUUAUUGGAUGCUACAGAAAAUUCUUGAAAAACCAAAAUGUGUAUUAUGUGAAUACAGCAAAGUAUGUUGAGUUUUAGUGGAAGGUUAAAAGUGUCAUUUUUGUUUUUAUUUUUAACACUGUUCGCAGAAAUGGGACAGUUGUAAUUGUUGAAAGUACAGGAGAGGUGAUUGAAAUUAGGUCAAAGUACAGGUGAGGUCUGAGUAAUUUACUCAAAAGAAAAAUUACCUAUUUGAGCUGGUUUGAAUAUGUUUAUUACUUGAAGGUCCAGUUGUCUCAGCUAGGAAAGGCCUAGCUUGCUGCCAGAUCCUGGGAUUGAAUGUCACAUUUACCUUAUAUGAGCCUCCCUCCUCUGUUAUAUUGUGUUAUAAGUGCCAAGAGAAGAAACAGGAAUAUGUUAUUUUGUUAUGAACUGGAGUCAGUUUUUAUAAUUAAUUUGGAUUAAGUAGACUUUGUUUGAGAUUGACUAUGAACCUUACCUCUCUAGUUUAUCUUUGAUGGUUGCAGAUUUGGAUUAGUAUAUGCUGAAAAUUUGUAUAUGUGUGUGGAAACAUUUGCAUUGGAUAAAUCUUGAAAAUUAUAAUGCCACAACAGCAUUCAAGAACACAUGUAGUUUCAAAUGAAAUAUUAAGAUCAAGGGUAUAGAUUGUUGUUGCUGUUUUUGUCUAUAAUGAAAUAUUAAGAUCAAGGGUUUUCUUGACUUUAAGUUCACAGCCUUCACAGUCCAUCCUGACUUUAAGCUCCACAGUUUGCAUCUGCUUCCUCUUCUUCUUAUGCCUAUGACCAUUGCUCAGUAACCUAGAGAAAUACUCCAGAGUACCUCCAACACCCAUGUUGUAUUUACUCCUGAACUCUUUAAAGAAGAUGGGUCUGAGAGAAACUUUGUGAGGGGAUGACAAAGUCAGAACUAAUAACAACUUAAAUAGUCAAGGCAAAAGCUUCCAGAGAGGUUCAUUUCAAUGUCUCAAACUGCAGAUCCACUGAUUCUCUAUGGAAGCUAGAUCAGGUAACAAUUUCCAACCUUUUCUUUUAUUUCCCUCUCCUUUUGUGAUGUAAUCGAAGAACAGCAAGAUUAAUUAUACUAAAAAAUCCUGUUUUUAUGUCAAGAUGAGGUAUUGUUGCAUUAGACUCUUCAGUAAUUGAAAACUUCUAUUACACGAAGGAUUGCUAUUAAACUCGCGAUGUACAUUGUACAAAUCCAUAUCAGAGGAGUUGAGCAUAUGGGGAUGGCCUCUUCAAACUGCAGGGUUGCUUACAUCAGGGCUUUCUUCUCGGUCAUUCACCAUCUUGACAGGCAGAGUCACAGAGUGGUCAGAGGGCAGGCUAGGGUUCUCAAUUCGCAAGGCAAACAGUUCAUGGGUACAAACAAGAUGGAGUGCCUCAGUUGUGCAAAUGGAUUCUAAUACCUGGAUUCUUGAAUAUCGAUCAAGCUCAGUGUUGCAGAACUCAAAAUUCUUUAGAGCAGCAUUCGAGUUCUUGAAGUUCAGAAUGUCAAGAAUAGUUAGAGAGAUGAAGCAGCAAUUUUGGUUAUUGCCCGCUUUUUUUCAUCAUUAUAGCAUUCAUUCGGAGGAUGUCGUUUACAGACAUCCAACUUAAGAUGUACCAAAUCUCAUGCCUUAUGAGACACUUUGAUCUAUUAGUAAAACUGCUGAUCUUAUUGAUUAAAAA